AAUGAACGUUGGCGGCAUGGAUUAGGCAUGCAAGUCGAGCGAGAAGGGUUUUUUGCUUGCAUUAAACCUGGACAGCGGCGCAAGGGUGAGUAACGAGUAGUUACCUGCCCCAGGGUUUGGGAUAGCCACGGGAAACUGUGGGUAAUACCAAAUAAUAUCUCCGGAUCAAAGGUGAGAUUCCGCCCUGGGAGGGGACUGCUUCCUACUAGCUUGUUGGUGGGGUAAUGGCCUACCAAGGCUCCGAUGGGUAGCGGGCGUGAGAGCGUGGCCCGUCACACUGGGACUGAGACACUGCCCAGACACCUACGGGUGGCUGCAGUCGAGAAUCUUCGGCAAUGGGCGAAAGCCUGACCGAGCAAUGCCGCGUGCGGGAUGAAGGCCCUCGGGUUGUAAACCGCGAAAGUAAGGAGGAAGGGCCCGUGAAGAGCGGGUCUUGACCGAUCUACAGUAAGGACGGGCUAAGUUCG
rnacentral:rRNA from 1 species